GAGAAUUAUAUUCUUUGAAGGGGUUUUAACCGGCUCCUUCAUUGAGUGAAUUGUGAACUGGUCGCGUUAUAUCCUGGGUCACUUGCACUUUUGGCUGUGAGUAACAGUGCUAUAUCCGGCGUUUUUUUUGAUGUUUGUAUUGUUUUUUUUGUUGUUUUCAAUAAGA
rnacentral:misc_RNA from 1 species